rnacentral:rRNA from 1 species
GGGUUGUGAGGUUAAGCGACUAAGCGUACACGGUGGAUGCCCUGGCAGUCAGAGGCGAUGAAGGGCGUGCUAAUCUGCGAUAAGCGCCGGUAAGGUGAUAUGAACCGUUAUAACCGGCGAUACCCGAAUGGGGAAACCCAGUGUGUUUCGACACACUAUCAUUAACUGAAUCCAUAGGUUAAUGAGGCGAACCGGGGGAACUGAAACAUCUAAGUACCCCGAGGAAAAGAAAUCAACCGAGAUUCCCCCAGUAGCGGCGAGCGAACGGGGAGGAGCCCAGAGUCUGAAUCAGCAUGUGUGUUAGUGGAAGCGUCUGGAAAGGCGCGCGAUACAGGGUGACAGCCCCGUACACAAAAGCGCAUAUGCUGUGAGCUCGAUGAGUAGGGCGGGACACGUGGUAUCCUGUCUGAAUAUGGGGGGACCAUCCUCCAAGGCUAAAUACUCCUGACUGACCGAUAGUGAACCAGUACCGUGAGGGAAAGGCGAAAAGAACCCCGGCGAGGGGAGUGAAAAAGAACCUGAAACCGUGUACGUACAAGCAGUGGGAGCCCCACCACUAAGCCAGUGGUGAACUCCACAUACGCAUCCUUUGCUGAGGAUACGGUUAACGGAGCGCAAGCGACGUUCAACCGCAAAAGAAGCAGAGGGGGCUUAGUGGUGGGGUGACUGCGUACCUUUUGUAUAAUGGGUCAGCGACUUAUAUUCUGUAGCAAGGUUAACCG